rnacentral:lncRNA from 1 species
AGUGGUGGUGGCGUCGGCGGCGGCGGCGGCGGCAGCCGGAGCGAGCAGUAGCCGAGCUGGUGAGCGGGUGUGGUGGGGGUGGGGAAGGAGGGUAGGGAUGCCGGGGGCCACUCCUGCGUGGUGCGAGUGGGAACGCGCGCGCGCGCCUGGGUGUGUGUUGUUAGCUGAUAUCCAUGGCAGCUGCAGUGGCAGGGUGCGUGUGCGUGUGUGUGUGUGUGUGUGUGUGUACUAGUUCUACUGUACUGGCAGACGGGAGGAGGCAGGGGAGGAGGGGCGCGCGCGCCGGGUGGGGAGCCACGGAGGGCUUCGCCGCUGCCUCCCUCCCUCCCUCCGCAGCUUGACCCGGUUUGCAUCCAAGAGAGGGGAGGACAGGGGCAAAAGGAUGCAGGGAGGCUGCUGAUUUCCACUGAAGAGCUAAUUUCCUGUGAGACAUUAACAGUGAUUUAAGAAAAAGAUUCCUGUAACUGAGACAAUUAGGAAAAAAGUAAACAAACGGAGCAGGAUUUGGGCAUAACAGCAUGCUCCUCCCAUCCCCCAAAUCCCAGGAGUGUCACUGAGUAAUGUCUUACAAUAACAGAAUGCAGGAGAGCACAUAUCAAUGAAGAAAAGACAAAAUGUACUUAUCCAUGAAGCUGAGGUUAAGAAACCAGUGUCUUCAAGAGCCAGGGACAGCACUGGGUCUGUGCAGAGUUGAGAGAUGGUGAUGACAUGUGGUUUCCAGCAUUCUUGGCCCAGUCUGGGAUUCUACUCUUUUGUAGUGGUUUCCAGCAUUCCUCACCCAGUCCAGGGACACUGUGGGUGUGCCCAGCUUAAGUCCAGUAACUGGAAAUACAAGCCCAAGUUCUGGAGAGUUUGAGCUGCAGAGAUAUAUAUGGGAACACUUUGAAUCUUGACUCAUUGGCCAUAACCAGCAGAGUGGAAAAUACAAGAAGAGAAAAAAACAUUGAACUGCGAUUUUAUAACAUCCUUUACUAGGCAGAGAGAAGAGGAAACACCAGGAAAGAAAACUGUAUUACGAUGUGAAAACUUAAUGUUGAGAAAUUCAGGCAUCUUGGGGUUAGUGAGGAGAAGUUUUAGGGGCUUAGAUUCUUCUAAACACAUGUACAGAAAUGCAUAUUUCAUCUGAUAUCAAAUGGCAUUUAUAGUGCUAAUCUUUACCUCAAGACUUCACAUCUUUUGGUGAUUGCAUCUUUUAGGUUUAUAGCAGCUAAGUUUGCAUGAAAACACCAGGGCUGUUUCAUUUCAGUCAAGAAUUAAUGUUCAUUGAUUGUGCUUCUGCAUUUCAUGUAACUAUUGUAGAAUUUGUUUUAGUUUUAUGAGGGAAUAAUUGUUCCAACUUCUAUAUAACUCAGGAAUUUACUCUCAAACAACACUGUCAAUUAGUUACUUAUCUCUCUGGAAAUGAUCUGGGAACAUGGAGAGGAAAGGGAGGAAGGGGCAAAAUCUGACCACUUAAAUCUAAGCAUAUUAGAUCAUUUUAUGCUAGAAAGUCCUGAAUGAUGUGACUUUCGUUCUUGUAAAACACCUCUUUCCAUAGAUUCAUGGCCCAAACAGUAUAUAAAGAGUGGGGAAGGAACUGCAUUUGCAAAUAGUUCAAAUCAUUGCUCCAUCUUAACUACGCAGUUCACAAAGUGUGAAGAAAUGUGAUCAUCUCAAAAAAGAUAAUGGGGAAAAAAUAUGUUUUGUUCUGUGACUUUAAAGUCUUGCAAUAUUUUACAUAAAUGAUAAUGGGUGCUUUAAUAAGAACUCUUGAUACUUUUGUUAUUGUAUUCAAUAUAUGCAUAUAAUACAACAGGAUGAUAUUGUUUUGGAUUUGGAAAUGUAUUCUUUCUUAUGCAAUCUUAUGCAGUCAUACUGCUUGAAUAUCAUUACCUGAAUUUAUCUUUCUUUUUUUUGUUGUUGUUUUACACUCUACUUAUUUGGUGCCUGUCAGUCUUUUGUCGUCAGUUUAUAUUCUACUAAACUCAAAAAGACAAUCUCAUACCUUUUGUAAUUGUAGGCAUUCUUUACUAGAUUUUUAAAUACACUUCAAAAAUUCAAGUACUUUGAUUUCAUGCCAUCAAGUAGCUGAAUCUAUCCCCCCGUCUCUUUUUAAAUUUAAGUGAGUAGUUCAAUUUCUGUCACUUUCUACUUUGUGAAUUCUAAAUCUUUUAAAACCAUCUUGCCAUUUUUCGUGCACUUACCCUUACAGAAAACUCUGUGAAACACUACUUAUCUCUACUUUUAUGUUUUUAACUCCUUUUUUAUAUUACUAUUCCCUCUGCUUUCUAAAUGCACAUAUUAAUUUGUUCUUUUUAUUCUCUGUAGCUCUUCUCAGUGUAUGAAUUCAGUUUCCCAUCAGUCUCCAUACAAUUAAAAAAAAGUUGAGUAUUCUGUUAUUUUAAUAAGAUAUCUAGUGCCCAUAUUCUAAUUCUGCCCCUUAUUUUUAAUAUAAUUUUAUUGUUGAUUUAAAAUGACAACAGUUUCAAUUCCCAGAAAGUGAAAGGAAACAAAGGAAUAAUAUUAUAGGCUUAAUUUUUAUCAGUGAACUUGUAGGUGAAGAAAAGAUUUGGGGAAGGAAAUGAACAUAUUAUAUUGCAAAAUAGUAAGGAACAAUCAGAUGUGUUUUCUAGUCUCUGGAAAAGCAUGUUUCAAGAAAUUCAAUGAAAAGUUCAUCAUGCUUGCUUAGAUUGUUGAGAAGCAAAAACACUGAUGAACAUUUGGAAGCAAUGAGAAUGUAAUUCUAAUCAUACUCUUUUAAUAAUGUUGCAAAACUCUCCAAACACUACUCUGUGUGGAUGUCUUUCAGAAUAUGAUGAAUACUAGUAGUCUUAUUCUGCCCUUUUCUCUCUAUCACAAUAUAUACAUUCUAUAUUGCAUACACAUAUUUUCCAAAUAUUACAUAUAAUUUCAUGUAAUUUAUAGACCUAUUAAGGCCCAACCAUUUUCUUGGAUAGGGGAUUCUUUAGAAGUCCAGCUUAAAUAAAGCCCGUAUAGAAAGUUUUUUUAAAAUUUAUACAUAAUCACCUAAAGUAACCUUAUCUACUGAACUCUUAGUACAUGCUACUGGAACCUUUUAUCAUGUUUCUUCCUGGCUUGCAUUACAACACUGUUGACAUAUCUCAGCCUUACUUCUAGGCUUCUUUGAGAGCAUGACUCAUGUUUGUAUUCCUCACUGAGGUUGAAUGAAUAAGAGAAACUACAGUAGUAGGAAAAAACAGUACAUGUACAUAUCAAUGAAUAUGAAAGGGUCAAAUGGAUCUAUUAUAGUAAGCACAAAAUCAACUGACACCAGCAAAGUAAACCCAAAAUUUUUAAUGGUAUUUUAAUAGAUCAAGAGGAGCAAGCAGAUUUUUGAGACAGUUGUCUCCUACUUUCUCUAUCACAGGGAGUAAUUUUAAAAGAAAAAUGGAGGGUAAGUUUCUUUAAGAGAAAAUUGUAGUUUAAAACAGGUCAUGGGAUAAUUAGAAAUAAUUUAAUUUCUUUAGAGGAUUUUAAUCUUUCAACUGCUUGCAAUUAGAUCCUAAGGCAAUAAAAGAAUAAGGAGAUUUGGAAAACCAUUGUCUGUAAUCUCUGAAGAAAAGUGGACAUUAGGGGAGUCAGUUGAAAAGCAAAGCUAUCACCAUUUUCUAAAGAGGAAAAAGGUGAACCUCACAAACUAUAGACCAAAAAAAUAGGACAUCGAGAGAAAGAAUAUGAAGCUAGCAUAGGUUCACAAAGAAUGAGUCAAAUCAAACAACAUGCAUUUUUUAUUUAUAAAGCAUGACUUGUUCAUUGUCAAUUCAUGUUAGCUUAAUCAUUAGGCAUUAAUGCCAUCACUGCAAUGCAUAUGUCAGCAAUAAAUAAUCAAAGACCAGGCUUCCAUCAUUCUGUUUAAUAUCUUCAAGUAAUGCUUAAGUUUGCAAAUGCUCUUUUAACACAUUCUCCAUAUGCAGCCUGCCCAGCACUGCACACAAUAGACCUGUUACUUCCCCCUCACGAGCACUCCUAAUAUUUCAUGUGCUCAUCCAAUUGACUUCUCCCACUGGUGCCUCAUAUUGAAUUUGUAGAAUCACACCUGCUCCUUUUUCAAAACUCUUCUGAGUUUUUUCUUAAAUAAUUCACUGACCCCAAAGUUGUCAGAUAUUUGAAGACUACUCGCACAAUUUUAAUAUUAUAAAUGUAUAAUGUAAAUGUAAUUAAGAUUUGUAUAAUGUACGAUGUACUUUGGUAAAUAAAAGUAUGCUGUGAAUAAAUACGUAUGAUACAAUUCAAAAUUUUACAUAAAUAUGUGAUAAAAUUUAGCUCAUAUUCUUUUUUUUUUUCUUUGAGACGGAGUCUCACUCUGUUGCACCCAGGCUAGAGUGCAGCAGCAUGAUCUCAGCUCACUGCAACCUCUACCUCCUGGGUUCAAACAAUUCUCCUGCCUCAGCCUCCUGAGUAGCUGGGAUUACAGGUGCCCGCCACCAUGCCCAGCUAAUUUUUUUCUAUUUUUGUUGUUGUUGUUGUUUUUAGUAGAGACGGGGUUUCACCAUGUUGGUCAGGCUGGUCUUGAACUCCUGACCUCAGAUAAUCCACCUGCCUCGGCCUCCCAAAGUUCUGGGAUUACAGACGUGAACCACGGUGCCCGGCCUAGUUCAUGUUCUUUAAGGACAAUUAUGAAUAUUUUUAUGCACUGUUAAUUUUCAUUAAGAUAUUGAUCAAUUAAUAGCUAUAUAUGUUCUAUAAAUUAAUCCUAUCUAGUUUCAAUCUUAAAUUGUUUGCAUAUACCAAUCUAGUUUAUUGUUUGCAUAUAUUUUAUAGUGUAGAGAUUAGGCAUUUUAAUAAAAUUUUAAAAUUUCCAGGACAUACUGUUAAUGACUAUGCUUCCUACUAUAGGCCAUAAUUAAUUUUUUUCUAUUGUCAACAAUAUUUUGGUAGGGAUGAUCAGGAAAUAAGGAAAUGUUUCCUUCAUUUGUUAACAAUAGGUGUUUGGGGAUUUUAAAAUGAAAAUUGAAGAAGUAAAAGACACCAUAUAUUUAGUUUGUUUGAUUUCGUGGCUUCAAGAGUUCAAUAAUUUAUUGAAAUAUUUUACAGACCAAAGAACAACAGAUAUAUUACGUUUAUAAGCCCCCACAUAUUUUAAAGGAUAAUGGUUUAUAUAUGAAAAUUCCCUGAACCUACACUUCAUCAGGAAAAGCUAAAUAAAAGAAGUUUACAUUUCCUAGGACUAAUGGAGAUUUAUUUCCCAGUCCUCUUCUCUGGAGACAAAUGUAGGUCUCUCUUGAAAAGCAGAAAGUUUUGCAUAUGAGGUAUGAUUUAGUGGGCUAGAAACAUCUUUUCCACCCUCCCCAAAAUGUUUCACUAUGUUUUAUCAUACUAUCUGAUAAUUUUGCACUAAAGUUUUCUUUCUGUGUUAAGAAAAUGCAAAUAUCUCUGAAUGGGUCUCUUUGCUUUAGUCAUACUCAUAUGGCUACUACUGAACAAAAUAUGUUCAUUACAGGAUGAAGGGAAUGUUGCCAGCCAGCAAAUCCCUAGAGUUUGCACUACACCAAACGUUGCUUAGCAAUUUCCACGAUUUUCUCAGUCUAAUUUGCAAGAAUCAAGGAGAUGUUUGUGUAUGCUACAUGAAGUUGUAAAAUUGGUAUUUAUUGUAUGUUUCUAUAUCGAAAGCUUUACAAACAAAGGAAAUGGAAAGUUAACAGGUGGAUAUGAUAGUGUGGCACUACUUUAGCUGGAUGGUAAGGGAGAGCUUCUCUUAGGAAGUGUUUUAGGCCAGGACUUGAAUAAUGAACAGUAUCUAGUUGUACAAAAAUCUGGAGGAAAGACUUUUCAGGCCCAGGAGAAAUGAAAAUUCUUUUCAUGCAUACAAGAAUGAAAGUGAAAAUUACCUACUCUAUGUCCUGAAGUGGGAAGUUGGCUUGCCAGAGAGUAGGUAAUUUUCACUUUGAUUCUUUCAUGCCUUCAGUUAUACUACUUCUUAGGUUAGUUCAUAAGGGUUUCCACAAUUUGGUUCCCACUUAAAAUUUAAAACUUCCCUAACCCAUUCCCACCAUAUAUUGUGCUAAUCCAUGCAUAUGUGACUUUGCGUAUGCUGUUUUCAUUGUUUAAUAUUCUUCUCAUGCAUUCGUUCUUUCCUGAUAACGAACUCAUCUUUGAAACUCCCCUUCAAGCAUCCUCUACUUUAGGAGGCCGCUUCUCACUGUCUCCUGCCUACCACCCAUUGAAUUGUUCAAUUUUUAAGCUGCCAUUGUCUUGUGCAGUUGACACAUUUCUUUGCAAUUACUGAUUUACAUGUCUGCUUUUAUCACUGGUGAGGUUCUUUAGGACAGAGACAUUAUUAAUUCAUCUCUGGGCACAUAUGUUCCAACAUAUUAGAAGUACUACAGAGUGCUAUUACUAUGUAGUAUGUAGUAUUAGUAGUAGUUACUCACAAAUCAUUUUUAAAUAAGUGAUUAUAAUAUCUUUUUGUUAUUAUGAUUUAACACAAGAUGGAAUUUAUUUUCAGAAGUUUCCAUGAUAUAUUUGUUCUAUUUAAAAUCCAAUAGCCAUUAGAAUAUUACCAUUAUUUAAUGUAAAACAAUAAAAUAUUAAAUAUGAUCGUUCAUAUUUAAUGCAAACCGAACUCAUGGAAAUAUUGUGUAAAGAUCAAGUAAUUUUUGACAUACAAUUUUAAACUCAACUUUUCAUAUAGCAUACCUUAUGAUAUAUUUUCAGCCUACUUUUAAAUAUGUUGGCAUUGAAAGCCAGUUACUAAUUCGCUGAAUUCAUGAUUUCUUUUUAAGUUAUAGAAGUGGAAUUAUGUUUGAGAUAUUCAUUGCAUUACAUUUACCAGAACUUGAGUUCUUAACAUGGAACCUGAGAGUUUCUCCAAUUCUUAAGUCCCUGGGAGAAAUAGAUUAGCUGGAUGAGGAACUGAGAGGAAAAAUGGUCAGAGAUGUAGCAAGAGUUGGGAAGAAGGAACAAUGAUUUGCUUUCAAGGAGAUUUUUUCAUUGGUCUGUUUUCAGUGACAAACCCACUGCGAUAAUACAUGUAAAGUGAAAACAUUCAGGAAGUUCCCUUAGAAACCUCUUUUCUGGCAGUUCCUAAUUCUACAACAUUGUAUAAGUGAAAUACCAUAGUUACUGUCAUAGUAAAUUGAGCCAAGAGAAACAAGGGAGCAGGAGAAGAAAAGAAUUAAAGAGAGUUUUGUCUUUCAGUCUUCACUCUGUUUCUUCUUGCUUUUACCAGUCAUUCAGGUUUAUAUAAUUUCUUUAGAGAGGCUUCUACUAUGCAGGUCUUCCUUAAAGUCAUUGGUAUUACCUGGCAUGAUAUGUGAGCCUUUAAUAUCAGUCCCUUUAUCUCUUUAUUUUUAAAGUUUAUAUCAGUACAGAGUCCUGGAUUCUUAAUUAAUUUAAUAGGUUAGACUUUAUGCUAAUAUUCUUCAUUUUGAUGCUCAAAUUUUCCAAAAUUUGGCCAGCAGGGUUCCUUAAAGCUGGGUACCUUGCCCUUUCAACAUGUCCCUCUGAUUCUUUAUUUUUAUUUACUUAUUUAUUUAUUUAUUUAUUUAUUUAUUUAUUUAUUUAUUUAGAGACUGAGUCUUGCUCUGUCUCCCAGCCUGGAGUGCAAUGGCACAAUCUUGGCUCACUGCAACCUCUAUCUCCCAGGUUCAAGCAAUUCUCCUCCCUCAGCCUCCCGAGCAACUGGGACUACAGGCAUGUGCAACCAUGCCUGGCUAAUUUUUUUUGUAUUUUUAGUAGAGACAGGCUUUCACCAUGUUGGUCAGGCUGGCCUCGAUCUCCUGACCUCAAAUGAUCCAUCGCCUCGGCCUCCCAAAGUGCUGGGAUUACAGGCGUGAGCUGCCACACCCAGCCGUCCCUCUCAUUCUUUAAGUACUUCCAUGUUUUCUAAGGUACAAGAUGUUCCAUAUUAUUUUGUUAUUUGUCUUCCCCAGCUCUGAAAUCUGCCUUUCCUUCAAGGAGCCUUGGUUCUUUCUAGUGACAAAUUAUAUUUAGAAAGAAGAUCUGGGUAUUUGACUUGUAUAUUGCUAUUAAUUGGCCAUUGUUUCUAGUCUCUUUCAGUAGACAGAGCUAAGAAAUGUAAAAGGAAAUAUUUGAAUGUAUGUAUAUGUGAUAUAUUAAGUACAUUUAAACAUAUUAAAUUCAUGAGUUCAUACUAAUACUUUCAAUAAGCCACAAUUCCCUUUUCAUGUUUUCGAAGGAAAAAUAUCCAUUGUCUAUAUACAGUGGACAUAGAUAGUAAUAAUACUGAUCUUGAAAAGAGCAGUCUUAAAUAGAUCCCAUUAAUAGUUAAAGAUAACAUAUCUUAGAAUUCUAGAUAUUAGAGAGAUUAUCUAGAGCUGUAAUCUAGAUAUUUUAUAGAUCUUUGCUGUGCUGUUUUGAAUUUGUGUUGGAGUAGAACAAUCAGAUGACAAAAGCUCAUCCCACAUGGAAAAAUCAAAGCAUUCAUUACAGAGAGAAUUUUGAAAUAAAUGCAUAUAUAAAAAAUAUAUAUGCAUAUAUAAUGCAUAUGUAUAUGCAUAUAAAAUAUAUAUAUAUAAAAUGAGGGUUAUAAACAAUGAAGGAAAUAGUGAUACUAUCUAUGUGGGAACAAUACUAGUAUCCUCCCUUUGGAUGAAUACAGUAGCUACAGAUGCAAUUCUGGGGACUCUGUUUAGCAAUAGCUUAACUAUUGCUUGGCUACAAGCAUGGAUAACUUGUUCAAAGAUAAUGAGGAGUUGUAAAUAUUUAAAUAAACAGGAUUUGCAACAUAAAAAGCUUUGUGACUAUGUGUCUGAAUUCUUAGAGUUUUCUCCCAGCAAGACCUUGGAUGUGGCAGACUUUUCUGUAAUUGUCCAUCUCGCCCCUAUUUCAUGAAAAGCCAGAGCUUCUCUACUUAGUUUGCUAACCCCAAAUAUAUAAAUUCAAUAGAAGUACUAGCCUGUUUUUACUGGUUUAUUUGCUUUAUCUAAAAAAAACAAGGCAUAGUUUAAAGUCUGUUUUUGAUAGCAUAACAAAACAAAGGUUCUCAUUUUAAUAAUGCAUCACAUAUACACUUGGUAACUAUUGCAUAGUAAUAAUUUAAUAACUUGAGAAAUAUAUUUAUGCAUGUAUGUGUAUAUGUUCAUAUAUAUGUUAUUUUUAAUUCAGAAGUAAAACAAAUAUUGGAAGAGGCCACAGUUAUUAUAAAAAUAAUUUGACCAGUAUUGGACAAUGCAAAUAGCAAUCAUUUAGAAGUUUCUGUACAACAGAUGCCAUAUGUGUUACAUUUUAUUUGAUCAUCAAAAUUGUCAUAGAUAUUAUUAUCCCCAUUUCAUAGAAGAAACUGAGAUUAUAUAAUUUGUUCAACUUGACCAACUUCUUAUAACUAAUACAUAGUAGAGAUAAGGUUGAAACCUCAUUAACCAACUUCUUAUAACUAAUACAUAGUAGAGAUAAGGUUGAAACCUCAUUAGGUUUGACUCCAGACCCCAGCCUCUUUUGAGUGCAUCAUAAAAGGCUUUGGUCUGCCCGUGGCCAGUAACAACUUUUACUAAAUUGAUUCUUUGCUUUUUAUCUGUAAAAGGAAGUUAUUCACCUAUUUUGAUGAUCCCCAAUGUUUUUAACAUCAAUAAAUGUGUCCACCACACAUGAUAGUUUUUAAUGUUUUGUUUCCAUGAUUACAGGAUUAAAA